ACAUCCAAGGAAGGCAGCAGGCGCGCAAAUUACCCAAUCMCGCAUCAAGGAGGUAGUAAAGAGAAUUAAUAAUGAUAAACCCUCAGCGGYWWGUCAGUWGGAAUGAGGUGGAUCCAAACCAACCAGCGAGAAUCAAUUGGAGGGCAAGUCUGGUGCCAGCAGCCGCGGUAAUUCCAGCUCCAAUAGCGUAUACUAACGUWGCUGUAGUUAAAAAGCUCGUAGUUAAGUUUCCACAUCCACUGGUUUCCUUACCAUCUUGGUAUUUUUAUUUUCUGGGUGUGAUCCUUUGGAUUUUGGUGUAUUGCAUUGAUUUGUAGUGCACUGAUYGUCCAUCAGUUACUGUGAAGAAAUUAGAGCGUUCAAUGCAGGUCAAUUUCAGUGAAUGUAUUAGCAUGGAAUAACACAUCAAAUUUUGGUUCACAAUUUGUUGGUUUGUGCACCGAUGUUGAGCUUGAUAGGGACAGUUGGGGGUAUUUGUAAUUUGAAGUCAGAGGUGAAAUUCUUGAAUCUUUGAAAGACAUACAACUGCCAAUGCAUUUACCAAGGAUGUCCUCACUAAUCAAGAACGAAAGUUAGGGGAUCAAAGAUGAUUAGAUACCGUCGUAGUCCUAACCAUAAACCAUGCCAACACAGGAUUAGCAGAACAUUCACAAGGUCGCUGCUAGCACUGUACGAGAAAUUUCAAGUCUUUGGGUUCUGGGGGGGRRKWWKGGUCGCAAGGCUGAAACUUAAAGAAWUUGACGGAAGGGCACCACCAGGAGUGGAGCCUGCGGCUUAAUUUGACUCACACGGGGAAACUCACCAGUCCAGACAUGAUGAGGAUUGACAGAUUGAGAG
rnacentral:rRNA from 1 species